UAGUCGGUAGCUCAAGGGCAGAGCGCCUGGGGAACCAGGAGGCGCGGGUUCGAGUUCCGCCCGAU
rnacentral:tRNA from 1 species